AGCUUGAAUGAAAAAUGAAAAGUUUCAACAUAUCUAUCUUUGUUCUAGUUCUACAUCUCUGUUCUUGUUCUCAAGCAAGUGAAACGAAUAUCAUAUGUGUUUCAAAGUUUGGUCUCGGGUUUACCUAGUGAUUUGAAAGUUUUGUCUAUUUUUGUUUAAAUGUUUUUAUGUUUCUAAAUAUGACUUGAAAUUGCUGUGAGGUGAAAGUUUUGUCUGUGUUUUAAGUUUUAUUUUCGUUGUUUGGUUGUGACUUGAAAGUUUGGUCUAUGUUUGUUUCUAAUAUGAGUAUAUGACUUGUUCUUGCUGUGAGUUUGGGUUCAGUCUAAAUAUUUUAUUUUCGUUGUUUGGUUAUCAGUUUUGGUUCAGUCUAACUUAUUUAUUUUUUUUAAUAUGAAAUCACUCUCAUCCGUACAUAACUUAUGUUUAUGUGUUUUAAGGUUUGGUCAUGACAAAUCAUCACUGACCCGAAAGAUUACAAAGAUCUUUACAAACAAGUUUGAUGGUCCUUUCUACAGUUGAACUUGCAGUUAAGUUUUCUCUUUUAAAGAAAAAGUUUUUUGUUGAAUUUGCAAAAACUCACACUUGGCAUCCGUCACAAACCGGUGUGGUUCAGGAAAAGUUCGAGGAGAUAUGUGAGCGGCGUAUGGAAGACAUGGUCAGCAUAUGUACGACGUAUCGAGUGCAACCAACCUAGCUGGAUUACUGAUUUUUGGAUGUAGAUAUACACAUUUUAAUGUCGUAUCUAAAUCUUUUCACAACUUUUUUCCAAUAGUUGCAAUAUUGAAAACACAUAUUUAAUUUGAAAGACAAACCUUUUCAUCUAGUAUAAGAAAAUUGAGACUAAGGAUUUCAUUGUUUCUUUUAGGAUAUUUGGCUAUCCAAACACGUAAAAAUCUUCGUACUAUUUUUUGUUGAUAACGGUUCAUUUGAAUAUUUUCUAAAAUUUGUAACCAAGUAACUGCAUGUAACUUUUUUUCACCA